CUCAGUACAUUUUCUCUUCUACAGCCACAAAACAAAUAGGGUAUACCAGUUUCCAUUAAGAUAAAAUGGUAUGCAGUUAUCUAGCAUGGCUUAAUGGUAAUAGAUAAUGAAAAAUUUGGUUUCAUUAAAAGGUUAUCAGAAAUUGAUAUGUGUUGAGUAUGAACGUAACUAUAUCACUGUUUAUAUUGCAGAAAAGAUCAAAUCAAAACAAGGCCAAUAGGAAAAAGCAGCAUGUGAACCACACCGCAGGCAGAAAGUCUUUUCUGAGAUUAAUGCAAGAGAUAGUAAGAUUCUAGUGAUUUUCUUCUUUAUUAGCUGAAUGGUCAGUGCUAGUGUGUAAUAGAAAGAGGGGUGGGUAAUAUUUAUGUAUGUAUUAAUUAGGGUCCAAGCGCAUCAAACUUAGUUAACUUCUAUAAAGAAACUUAUUGGUCAAAGAAGAAAGGGGCAUUUGUCACUCCCAUGACAGAAACCUACUAUGUGCGUGGCCUCUAACUUACUCAUUUUCAGAAAAUUGAGAUUUUUUAUACAUAAUCAUUUUACUUAAUUUACUUCAACUAUAACUCAUAUAAGAUAAAUUUUUGCAUCAGAAUACGAUGUGUGAGAAAUUAGAUGAGAUACAGUCUGAGGAGCGUACAAAUGAGGCUGCAAAUAUAAUAUUCAAAGAUGUGCUAGGACACAGGUCUGGUUAUACAAGAGGACUUGGUGGUUCAGUUAUACACAAGACUAGACCAUCAGCUAUGUCGGCACAAUUUGAGCACCUAGCCCAAGAAAAUGAGAAGCAUAAACAUGAGGCAUUGAUGUACAAGACAGAGUUGGAUGAGCUGAAAAGGGAUGUAAGACAAUUAUUGGUUUGGCAAAUGUCCUAUGACCAAAGGAUGAAUGACUUAACAUCUCAAAGAGUGUCUAAUAUAGACACUCAAGGAGAUCUUUAGCUGGAUGGGUUUCUAAACUGGGAGUUUUUUGAAAUUUUGUUAAGUAUUCAUCACUUUUGGUGGCAGUUACAUAUUUUGUUACAUAGUUGUCAAGGGAUGCAGGUUUUUGAAGUUUGUUGCAAAAUGGCAUUACAGCAAGUCAUGAUGUGAAUUUGUUGCAAAAUGGUGCUGUCUCUAUUUUGUUAAAGGUAGCUGUGGGCCAGGUUGAUAUGAGCUCAAUUGUAAUUUUUUGAUGCACCAAUGCGUCGGACUACAGGAUGCUAUAUGCUUGACUUCACUCCCAGGUUUAAAUGUAUAGCCAUGUUUUAGACAAGACCAAUGAGUGGCACAUGGAAUUUAUGUGUUUAGUGGCAGUAUGUAUUUAGGAAUUUAAGCUUGAUUUUGCAUGACAUUUAAUCUUUCUGCCUGCUAUAACGUAUGAUUAUACUACUUGUAAAUGAGAUGUUAAUUAUUCAAGCUUGUAUGAAAACUAGAUGGCAAUAUUGUAGAUGGAAAUGCAAGUAAAAUAUAUGGUGUUUUAUUU